rnacentral:rRNA from 1 species
UGACCGCUGGCGGUAGGCCUAACACAUGCAAGUCGAACGGCAGCACAGUAAGAGCUUGCUCUUACGGGUGGCGAGUGGCGGACGGGUGAGGAAUACAUCGGAAUCUACUUUUUCGUGGGGGAUAACGUAGGGAAACUUACGCUAAUACCGCAUACGACCUACGGUUGAAAGCAGGGGAUCUUCGUACCUUGCGCGAUUGAAUGAGCCGAUGUCGGAUUAGCUAGUUGGCGGGGUAAAGGCCCACCAAGGCGACGAUCCGUAGCUGGUCUGAGAGGAUGAUCAGCCACACUGGAACUGAGACACGGUCCAGACUCCUACGGGAGGCAGCAGUGGGGAAUAUUGGACAAUGGGCGCAAGCCUGAUCCAGCCAUACCGCGUGGGUGAAGAAGGCCUUCGGGUUGUAAAGCCCUUUUGUUGGGAAAGAAAAGCAGCAGGUUAAUACCCCGCUGUUCUGACGGUACCCAAAGAAUAAGCACCGGCUAACUUCGUG